rnacentral:rRNA from 1 species
UAAUACAGAGGGGGCAAGCGUUAUUCGGAAUUAUUGGGCGUAAAGGGCGCGUAGGCGGCUUUGCAAGUGGCGGGUGAAAUCCCUCGGCUUAACCGAGGAACUGCCUGCCAGACUGUGAGGCUUGAGACCGGGAGAGGUGAGUGGAAUUCCCAGUGUAGCGGUGAAAUGCGUAGAUAUUGGGAGGAACACCAGUGGCGAAGGCGGCUCACUGGACCGGAACUGACGCUGAGGCGCGAAAGCGUGGGGAGCAAACAGGAUUAGAUACCCUGGUAGUCCACGCCGUAAACGAUGAGUGCUUGGUGUAGCGGGUAUCGACCCCUGCUGUGCCGAAGUCAACACAUUAAGCACUCCGCCUGGGGAGUACGGUCGCAAGACUG